UGCAGUCGACGAUGAACCGGUUUCGGCCGGGGAUUAGUGGCGAACGGGUGAGUAACACGUGGGCAAUCUGCCCUGCACUCUGGGACAAGCCCUGGAAACGGGGUCUAAUACCGGAUAUGACACGCUCCCGCAUGGGAUGCGUGUGGAAAGCUCCGGCGGUGCAGGAUGAGCCCGCGGCCUAUCAGCUUGUUGGUGGGGUGAUGGCCUACCAAGGCGACGACGGGUAGCCGGCCUGAGAGGGCGACCGGCCACACUGGGACUGAGACACGGCCCAGACUCCUACGGGAGGCAGCAGUGGGGAAUAUUGCACAAUGGGCGAAAGCCUGAUGCAGCGACGCCGCGUGAGGGAUGACGGCCUUCGGGUUGUAAACCUCUUUCAGCAGGGAAGAAGCGAGAGUGACGGUACCUGCAGAAGAAGCGCCGGCUAACUACGUGCCAGCAGCCGCGGUAAUACGUAGGGCGCAAGCGUUGUCCGGAAUUAUUGGGCGUAAAGAGCUCGUAGGCGGCUUGUCGCGUCGGAUGUGAAAGCCCGGGGCUUAACCCCGGGUCUGCAUUCGAUACGGGCAGGCUAGAGUUCGGUAGGGGAGAUCGGAAUUCCUGGUGUAGCGGUGAAAUGCGCAGAUAUCAGGAGGAACACCGGUGGCGAAGGCGGAUCUCUGGGCCGACACUGACGCUGAGGAGCGAAAGCGUGGGGAGCGAACAGGAUUAGAUACCCUGGUAGUCCACGCCGUAAACGUUGGGAACUAGGUGUGGGCGACAUUCCACGUCGUCCGCGCCGCAGCUAACGCAUUAAGUUCCCCGCCUGGGGAGUACGGCCGCAAGGCUAAAACUCAAAGGAAUUGAC
rnacentral:rRNA from 1 species